CGGACGGGUGAGUAAUGCUUGGGAAUCUAGCUUAUGGAGGGGGAUAACUACGGGAAACUGUAGCUAAUACCGCGUAGAAUCGGGAGAUGAAAGUGUGGGACCUUCGGGCCACAUGCCAUAGGAUGAGCCCAAGUGGGGUUAGGUAGUUGGUGAGGUAAAGGCUCACCAAGCCGACGAUCUCUAGCUGGUCUGAGAGGAUGACCAGCCACACUGGGACUGAGACACGGCCCAG
rnacentral:rRNA from 1 species